GUCUAUGGCCAUACCACCCUGAAAGUGCCUAAUCUUGUCUGAUCUCGGAAGCUAAGCAGGGUCAGGCCUGGUUAGUACUUGGAUGGGAGACCGCCUGGGAAUACUGGGUGCUGUAGGCU
rnacentral:rRNA from 1 species